UGGUAGAGCGCUCGCUUAGCAUGC
rnacentral:piRNA from 2 species